rnacentral:rRNA from 1 species
UCCGACUCAGCUCAGACUAAGGUAGGCGUGUGCUAGAGGGAAAGAUGCUUGACAAAGGGGUACUGGGACAAGGGAGCAAGCACAAAAUUAGUUGGGAGAUGACCACUCACCACUCGCCUUCCAAACUGCCGCUGGUCGCCUACAGUCGAGCGUACCACCAGCCGCCCAAUCUAGCUGCCGUUAAAGCUACGGGCGUAGCCGCAGUAGUCGUCCGCAUACAGGAGGUACAGUCGGCGCGCCGCCCACCAACAGCAGCGCCGCGACGUUAACUGGCAGCACCGACGCUACCAAGCUCGUGCCAACUGUACCUAACGUCCUCCUAAUCCUAGGGCGACAGGGACAAAUUCCAAGCACCAGGAGGGGAUAAAUAAGAGUGCGCGUACCUGGGUUGACCGCACUACGGUAAGAAGAGGAACGUACGCCGACGUUCAGGGAGGAGAAUGUGGUACAGCUUAAGAUCAAAAAAGAACGGUGGAAUGAGGAUGAUCCAUUGUAGAUGAAUGACUACACUAACGAAGGUUCUAAAGUCACGAAUACACAGGAGGCAUUAAAGGGAAACCUAGAGUAAGCACGACCGAGUGGUGAACGUAAAGAACGGGUGCUCCACAAACAAAAUUACAGACUCACCCUUGACGGCUACUUUUACACGAGUUUCUCCGCGAAGAUGGUUCCACUGCGUGUCAUUAUCUAACUACCAUAACGAAGAUGCUAGAAUGCUCAUGACUUACGGUACAAGUUCUAACUCCUCUAUCUAUUCAAGGAACACAUGUUUCGAAGCCUUUUGGAGUACGGCCGGACGGCCGGUUACACCCUAGACAUCACGGCAGCAACGAGGAGCAAGAAUCCCAUCCCACCGACAACCGGGAGAAGAACUACACCAGAUAUACAAAGGGAUGAGAGUACUAACAGGCGUUGGUCCAGAAGUGACGACCUAGAGAAACCAUAACGAGAGAGAGGUCAUUAAAUGUGCCCUACUUCGAACCAACUCUCUUCGGGACAUUAAACGUUUAUAAAGACCUCGAGAGUGGCCCAGUCUGUCUCCUCGAUGAGUACGUGUCGUUCACCGAUUAUGGGAUUGGCUACAUGAGGGACAAGAUGAUUUAGUCGCUGCUCAUUAUACCUUGCCUCCCUCAUCGAAGAAUUCAGUCUCUCCGUGUGUCAAGAGUAGAACAGAAGAUACAUUACAAGGCGGAUUAUGUGUAAAACGUCUGUCCGUGGUUACAAGAAUAAGUUACACAGAUGCGUGCCGUUUGAACUACCGUGACAGAGCGAUCCGUACUAGGACUCCGGUUUAUAAACCCUAUUAGACCUUCUGACAACCUAUGUGUACCGUCUAACGACUUCCGUCCAGCUAAGAAAUCAAUGCGAGUGUACAACCUAGAACACCUUCGUUUUCUUACGUUCUCACGUCGUGUUACAAUCACUAGAACACCUGACUUAGUUCCUACUAAUGUUUGAGACCUUUUCCCGAUCCCGCCUCCCUCGACUUGGUUAUCUCAUCAAUCGUAACACAAUCAACCUCCCUCAUAUAGACAAAAAAGAUAUUUUGAUAUUUUGAGCCCAUACGUUUAGCAGAUGAGAACUUCUUAUUAUCAUGAUCCUAUCAAAAUUCAAAGGAAAAGACAUGAUAGUAUUUUUUACCUGAGCCCAAGUUAAUAUAAUCUUAUUAAGUUGGACCGACAAACCACGGCACAGCCACAAGGUUUGUUCCACGUUCUACCGUAUUACAUAAAAUGGAAGAUUGAGUACCUGACACACAACG